rnacentral:pre_miRNA from 1 species
GGGUCCAUCUUCCAGCGCAGUGUUGGGUGAUUGACGUAUGGAGCUCCUAACACUGUCUGGUAAAGAUGGCCCC